rnacentral:piRNA from 1 species
UACAACAAACAUAUUUGUGUAUUUAAUGCCU